rnacentral:lncRNA from 1 species
UAACGACCCGACUCGCUAGCAAUAAUAACUUAAUGGACCCAAACCACCAGCCCAAAAUGUUUAAGCUCAGUUAUUAUUACUAGUGUGCGAGUCGUUACAUUUAGUAUUAGAGCCGAUUCACCAACCUAAAGUGUGAGAUGAGUGUUGGCUGAGAUAGGGUCAGAAUGACAGACUAAGACAGGGUCGGUAAUUGACCGGCUAAAUUAGGGUCGGAAUGACAAAGGCUAGCGAAACAAUCCUCACAUUGCCUGAUGAUUUUGAGUUGUGUGUGUUUAGGGCUGACCAGGACGUCAGCGCCUAAACCGGGGGAGUCUACAUGUGACACUCCAAUAGUCCUAUAUCGGAUAGUUAUAACCAGACGUGGGAGUAUAUAAUCUUGAUUGGCUGUAUAUAAUAACUGAGCUUAAGCAUUUUUGGCCAGUGGUUAAACCCAAAGAGUUAUUAUUGCUAGCGGGUCGGAUUGUUACA